UUGACGGGACCCGCACAGCGGUGGAUGAUGUGGUUUAAUUCGAUGCAACGCGAAAACCUUACCCACCUUUGACAUGUACGGAACCCUUUAGAGAUAGAGGGGUGCUCGAAAGAGAGCCGUAACACAGGUGCUGCAUGGCUGUCGUCAGCUCGUGUCGUGAGAUGUUGGGUUAAGUCCCGCAACGAGCGCAACCCUUGUCAUUAGUUGCUACAUUCAGUUGGGCACUCUAAUGAGACUGCCGGUGACAAGCCGGAGGAAGGUGGGGAUGACGUCAAGUCCUCAUGGCCCUUAUAGGUGGGGCUACACACGUCAUACAAUGGCUGGUACAAAGGAUUGCCAACCCGCGAGGGGGAGCCAAUCCCAUAAAGCCAGUCGUAGUCCGGAUCGUAGUCUGCAACUCGACUACGUGAAGUCGGAAUCGCUAGUAAUCGUGGAUCAGAAUGUCACGGUGAAUACGUUCCCGGGUCUU
rnacentral:rRNA from 1 species